ACGAUGGUGGACCCAGAUUUCAAAGUGGAGAAUGUGGUUGAGCGCUGCCGAGGUGCUGACCUACCUUGUAGAGGCCAAAGAAGCCCAGGUCUCUCACAACAGUCAAGGCACUGACCCGGGGCCCCGUGGUAAUCUCUCCCGCCACCUGCAGACGGAUCUUUACGAUCUCCAGAGGAUUGGUGAAAAUCACCUGGGAAGCUCCUGCCUGCAGGAUGAGACACAGAAGACGCCUACGUUUUUACAGGGAUUCGAGGUUUAAAGGGGUGACUCUGAGAGAGCGGCCUUGACAGGAGGAGGAAAAAGGCGGCCAUUGAUGGAAGAACAACAGGGGUCACGUCAGAGCAGGGGCUCAGUCAGAAGAAGCUCGGGCC